GCACUGCUGAAGAGUCCCACAAUAGGACGAAGUGGCCGUCCAGUGC
rfam:Schistosoma mansoni strain Puerto Rico chromosome 3, complete genome